AAGUGCCCCCGCCCCGUAUCUGUACAGCGGUUUAUUUACAUGCUUCAGAAGGAGAAAAGGCUUUCACAGUUUCCUACAGAGUAGGGCACAGUGCUUAGUGGUCAUGCAGUAAACAGUGGACACUCCCUAGACGACAUUAAGCAGGAAUCCACAAGAGGCUGGCACUUCUUUCUUUGGUCAUGAGUGUGACAUGUGUGAUAAGAUCAGAAAAGCACAAGUCUUAACUCCUAGU